AUUAGCUGGUUUCAAGCCAACUGCAUAACCACUCUGCCACUUUCUUUAAU
rnacentral:tRNA from 2 species